rnacentral:rRNA from 1 species
UUAGUGGAAGCGUCUGGAAAGGCGCGCGAUACAGGGUGACAGCCCCGUACACAAAAGCGCAUGUGCUGUGAGCUCGAUGAGUAGGGCGGGACACGUGGUAUCCUGUCUGAAUAUGGGGGGACCAUCCUCCAAGGCUAAAUACUCCUGACUGACCGAUAGUGAACCAGUACCGUGAGGGAAAGGCGAAAAGAACCCCGGCGAGGGGAGUGAAAAAGAACCUGAAACCGUGUACGUACAAGCAGUGGGAGCCCCACCACCAAAGCAUUCUCUGGUGUUGAAGGCCCUGCAAAGCAGCAUCGCGGUGGCGGAGCGUCGUUUGCGACGCCCAACACACAAAACAAGCGGUGAGUGCUUUGGGGUGGGGUGACUGCGUACCUUUUGUAUAAUGGGUCAGCGACUUAUAUUCUGUAGCAAGGUUAACCGWAUAGGGGAGCCGGAGGGAAACCGAGUCUUAAUUGGGCGUUAAGUUGCAGGGUAUAGACCCGAAACCCGGUGAUCUAGCCAUGGGCAGGUUGAAGGUUGGGUAACACUAACUGGAGGACCGAACCGACUAAUGUUGAAAAAUUAGCGGAUGACCUGUGGCUGGGGGUGAAAGGCCAAUCAAACCGGGAGAUAGCUGGUUCUCCCCGAAAGCUAUUUAGGUAGCGCCUCGUGAAUUCAUCUCCGGGGGUAGAGCACUGUUUCGGCUAGGGGGCCAUCCCGGCUUACCAACCCGAUGCAAACUGCGAAUACCGGAGAAUGUUAUCACGGGAGACACACGGCGGGUGCUAACGUCCGUCGUGAAGAGGGAAACAACCCAGACCGCCAGCUAAGGUCCCAAAGUCAUGGUUAAGUGGGAAACGAUGUGGGAAGGCCCAGACAGCCAGGAUGUUGGCUUAGAAGCAGCCAUCAUUUAAAGAAAGCGUAAUAGCUCACUGGUCGAGUCGGCCUGCGCGGAAGAUGUAACGGGGCUAAACCAUGCACCGAAGCUGCGGCAGCGAACGUAUCACUUAAAGCGAUUCAGCGGGUUACGAUUGACGGAGCGAAGCGACGUCAAAGCGUAUACAAAGUCGAGUCGGUUUAAGGAUACGUUCGUUGGGUAGGGGAGCGUUCUGUAAGCCUGUGAAGGUGUGUCGUGAGGCAUGCUGGAGGUAUCAGAAGUGCGAAUGCUGACAUAAGUAACGAUAAAGCGGGUGAAAAGCCCGCUCGCCGGAAGACCAAGGGUUCCUGUCCAACGUUAAUCGGGGCAGGGUGAGUCGACCCCUAAGGCGAGGCCGAAAGGCGUAGUCGAUGGGAAACGGGUUAAUAUUCCCGUACUUGGUGUUACUGCGAAGGGGGGACGGAGAAGGCUAUGUUGGCCGGGCGACGGUUGUCCCGGUUUAAGCGUGUAGG